CGCGCAAUUUGCUAAUAAACACCUAGUUGAUUGUUUCUUCUCAAAGUAAAACCAUCGCGCCAUUAUGUCUAUUUUAAUAAUAAUUGUUUUGUGCCUAUUCCUAUUAAUAAGUUACCUUAUUAUAAUUAGGCCGUACCAAUAUUGGACAAAGAAAGGUGUUCGUCAACGUAGUGUUGCAAAAUUAUGGUUGGAAAACUUCAAAACCAUUUUACAACUCACGCCUAUGGCCGACAGUAUUACAGCCGUGUACAGCGAAUUUCCCAACGACAGAUACACGGGAACGUAUCAAUUUGCAAGUAAAUUGCUGCUAAUUAGAGACCCCGAAUUGAUUAAGCAAAUUACGGUGAAAGAUUUCGACCAUUUUGUGGAUCACAACCAAAUUCUCUUCGAGGAUGCAGAACCAUUGUUUAGCAAAAACUUGAUGUCCCUAAGAGGUGAAAGAUGGAAAGAAAUGCGCGCUACUCUCAGUCCAUCGUUCACCAGCCGCAAAAUGAAGGCAAUGUUUGGAAUCAUAAUGGAGUGCGCACAGACCUUUGUGAGACACUUCCAGCGAGAAGAUGGACAGGUCGUGACUGUAGAAUUGAAAGAUGUUUUCACCAGGUUAACCAAUGACAUUAUUGCAUCUGCGUCCUUCGGCAUAGUAUGCGAUUCUCUCAAAGACCGCGACAAUGAAUUUUACAAAAUGGGGAAGGAGGCGACCAACUUCAGUGGAUUCUGGAAGGUCUUAUCGUUUUUGAUAAUUUUGUCUAGCCCUCGAUUGGCUAAGUUCUUGGGAAUACGAUUUUUUGACGAAAAAGUUAGCGCGUUUUUCAAAAAUUUGGUAGUAAGUAACAUUGAGGAGCGCGAGAAGAACGGAAUUGUGCGCCCAGAUAUGAUUCACCUGUUAAUGCAGGCGAGGAAAGGAAAAUUGGAACAUGAUCGGGAUAAUGAAGUUAUCGAUACCGGAUUUGCUGUGAUUGAAGAAUCCGCGAUUGGAAAGGAAAGGAAGCGGAAUCUGCAACUGACUGAUGAUGAUGUAACCGCCCAGGCGCUCAUAUUCUUUUUCGCUGGGUUUGAAUCUGUGGCGACUUUAAUGUGCUUUACCGUCUACGAGCUGGCAGCAGAUCCUUUCGUGCAACAGAAGUUGCAAAUGGAAAUCGACAAUGUGCUCAAAGAAUCUGACGGGACGUUAACGUACGAGUCCUUACUCAAAAUGGAAUACUUAGACAUGGUUAUUUCUGAGGCAUUACGUAAAUGGCCUAUUGCAGUAGCAACCGACCGCGUUUGUGUCAAACCGUACACAAUUCAACCUGAAAGGGAGGGCGAGAAACCUUUACGCCUUGAAAAGGGCGAUGUCAUUUCGAUUUUGAUGUACGGGAUGCAUCGAGAUGCAGCAUUAUUUCCAGAUCCCGAUCGUUUCGACCCCGAACGGUUUAAUAGGGAAAACAAAAAGAAUAUCGGUCCAUACACUUACAUACCCUUUGGCGUUGGCCCUCGAAGCUGUAUCGCUAACAGAUUUGCCUUACUAGAAAUCAAAAUUUUAAUUUUCAACCUCUUACAACACUUUGAAGUAGUUGUCGUUGACAAAUCGGACAUUCCAAUAAAACUGUCGCCUAAACAGUUUACUCUUAAUGCCAAAAACGGUUUUUGGUUUGGAUUUAAAUCUAGAAGACCAUCAGUGUAACUACAAUUUUGUGUUAGAAGCAACAGAUUUGUUUAAAUAAAGGUAGGUACCUAUAUUGUUUCGAGAUGGAAAUUAUUCCCUAUAAAUCACUGAAAUCCAAAAGUACCUAUUGAUCCUAAGCUGAUUGUAUAAAGAACAGCAUUUUCCUAUUAGCACAGACAACAUAUACUAUGUUGUCUGUGCUAUUAGCUUACCUAAUUGCUUUCUAGAGCUUUGACACUUAUCAAAGAAUCUGUUGCGCAUAUGGACAACAAACGCUGGAAAACCCUAACAAACUUUCCAUAGAACAGUUUUAGCGAGAAAAACAGCUAUUUGCGUGUAGGUACCACCUAUAUAUAUGGGCUUUCCCAGAUAGGACUGUAAAUUCCCAGAUAGACCUGGCAGCUUUGAAUUCCCGAAAAAUUACAGUUAAAUCAGUAAAAAGGUUUUCGCCCUAAGGCGAGUAACUUCAGCGCAUUUUUCAUGCACUGAUCAGUACCUACUUCCCAAAAGGAUAUGUAGCUAUUAUAUGCGCACUAUGUUUGUUUCUAUACUAGAUGCCUGUAUGGUUAGAAUUUUAUCUUCAUAAAUAAGAAAGUUAAAAAUAUAUUAAUAAAUGAUAAAGUUGAUAUCCUACAUCCUACGCAUGCCCACAUUAAUUUUCAAGAUUAUCUUGGCUCAGGUGCCAGAGCUAAUAACGGGCCAUCAAAAACGAGUUGCUGUCGAGUCGCCUUUGGAAGUUCAAGUUAAGUACGAUUUCCCAUGUAAACAAAAAUUCCAAAGGUGACUCGCGACAACAAAUCAUUUUUGAUCGCAUAGUAUAAGCUACCGAAUUCAAAAAGAACGAACUAAAUAUAUUGAAAACUGAAAAGUAUAGUAGUAGUGAAGACCUUGGACGGUCGGACAGACAGACAUCAUCCUUACGCCGGGUUAUUGCGAGUAAUUAUGGUAGGUACCUAGAAAACAUUUGCUUGCAAAAUGUACAAAUUUUGAAAAUCUCCUCAAUCAUUUCGUUCUAAAUUCUAAACCACCAGGACCAUUGUCCCAACGAAAAUUCACACUAGAGAAGGCUCGACUCCACUUGGGACGCAAACUACGCAGAGGCAAAUUUUCGGGAAAAAUUUCCUUCGAGACGAGUUUUUUAGGUGUGCAUUUUUAAAGGUAAUCUUUGGUGUCUAUGAAUUUGAUUGAAAUCAUGGCAAACGAGAGACCAAGACGCUGUGGACGAUAGCUUAUUGUAAGCCGGAUUUUCGGAGACUAAUUUACCAGGAUAAAUUUUGUUAAGGGCAAUAAUUUACGUAAGUGUAUUCAUUGUCUGCAGACCGAAAAUUGAAUUUUUUUAAAAAUUAGUAGCUACAGCGCGCACUUCUAGCGCCUGGGGCAAAGAGUAAUAAAGUAUUUUUUGGUCUUAACGUCGUAGUCUAAUGUGCCUUAAUUAUAAUCCGUCGCUUUCCAAGAAGAGGUUAGAGCAUAUAGGGUAGUAUUAGUGAAACUUAAAAAAAAGAACUUCAUUUCGAAACAAUUAAGGACGCAUUGAUUUCCAAAAUCAUCGAAUUUUGGGAAUAUUUAUAGAUCACCCUGCCAAAUCAACUACGGAAUAGAUUUCUUAAGAACGUGACUAGGUAAGUAUAUUUCCUUACUGGUUAUACCUACCCAUUUAAUUUUAAUAUAUGACAAUAAACGCGUUUCUUCAUUAUUAAUACCUUUUCGUAAAUCAAACGAACCAACGAGUUGAUGAAAUGGCGCUUUAGGUAUUAUCCCUAUUUUUUUAAUUCGUAUUUUUUAUACCUUUUCGGUCAUAUGCCACACUCAGAGGCCCUUUAGGCCGAUGAUCAAAAUUACUGUUAUAUGACAGGUACAAUAUAUAGGACAGUCCUCCCAACGACAUUUUGCCCUGUGUGACUGAUUGCAUCACCAAAAGCAAGGUGAUGGGCGAUGGGGUCGUCACAUCCCGACGCCGCCGGCUUAUUAAACUUAUUAUUGUUUCCUCCAGAAACUCCGUAAUGAAUCAUUUGAGGUGCGUUGUUUGCGAACUGCAUAAAUUAACAAAAUCUUCCUAACUUCUCAAUCAUUGGUUGUACAUUCGCAAGUUAUACAUAAAAUUGUUUAAUUUCAUACAGUUUUUGUUGAAGGAAUAUAUUUUUAAAUAAGUAUAAUGGAUUCACAUUCUCUUUGAGUUUCUUCAUUGCAUGAUUCUUUGUUCUUCGAGCGAGACUAAUUAUUAGUAAAGUCAUCAUUUUCAUAGUUACAUGCAACUAACCACGCGUUUAGCCAUCAGGUUUUCACGUGCCGGUAAAAAACCCAGAGUUUAAACAAAAAUGCACAAAAUUCAUUUUCUUAUAGUACCUAUCUAUCUACAUCAAGCAUUUCCACAACCCCAUUAUAGUCCAGCACCUAAAGAUGGCAGAAGAAGCAAAGACCUCUGGAGCCUCCACCUCACCGAGUACCAGUGGCUUUGCAACAAUCGACUUGGAUCUUGGUCGUCCUACAAAAUUGUACGAGUAAUGGUUUGACAUCGAGGAAGAAUUCCCCAACUCAUGGAACACUCAAGAGUAAUAUACGAUACUGGAAUGAAAAUUACAAUCUAAAUGCAAUUCUCUUUUUCACAAUAUCGGGACCAUAAAAAUGGAAAAUUGCCAAUAGAAAAAUCAUAUUUAUAAAAUACAGGAAAAUUUACAACAUUUAUACAAUAAAUAACUUAAACAUUUUAUUGUAAAGAAGUCAAUACAAUAAAAUCAAGAUACAAAAAUCCAAUUUUAGGAGUUGGGAGCAGAUUUUUUCUCCUCUUUAAUACGAUCCUUCUUGAGGACACCCAUAAAGGCAACCUUGUCCGCAGGCGUCUGGAAUCUACCAUGGCCGAAUUUGGACGAUGUGUCGAUGAACUUAAGAUUGAUCUUCUCGAGAGCAACACGCUUGGUGUGUGUGAGAAGGGAUUUCCUCAACGUGAUAACCCUCUUCUUUGGACCC